rnacentral:rRNA from 1 species
ACGUUGUUCGGCAUAUUGGGCGUAAGAGCUCGUAGGCGGCGUGUCACGUCUGCUGUGAAAGACCGGGGCUUAACUCCGGUUCUGCAGUGGAUACGGGCAUGCUAGAGGUAGGUAGGGGAGACUGGAAUUCCUGGUGUAGCGGUGAAAUGCGCAGAUAUCAGGAGGAACACCGGUGGCGAAGGCGGGUCUCUGGGCCUUACCUGACGCUGAGGAGCGAAAGCAUGGGGAGCGAACAGGAUUAGAUACCCUGGUAGUCCAUGCCGUAAACGUUGGGCGCUAGGUGUGGGGACUUUCCACGGUUUCCGCGCCGUAGCUAACGCAUUAAGCGCCCCGCCUGGGGAGUACGGCCGCAAGGCUAAAACUCAAAGGAAUUGACGGGGGCCCGCACAAGCGGCGGAGCAUGUUGCUUAAUUCGACGCAACGCGAAGAACCUUACCAAGGUUUGACAUCACCCGUGGACUCGCAGAGAUGUGAGGUCAUUUAGUUGGCGGGUGACAGGUGGUGCAUGGCUGUCGUCAGCUCGUGUCGUGAGAUGUUGGGUUAAGUCCCGCAACGAGCGCAACCCUUGUUCCAUGUUGCCAGCACGUAAUGGUGGGGACUCAUGGGAGACUGCCGGGGUCAACUCGGAGGAAGGUGGGGAUGACGUCAAGUCAUCAUGCCCCUUAUGUCUUGGGCUGCAAACAUGCUACAAUGGCCGGUACAAUGGGCGUGCGAUACCGUAAGGUGGAGCGAAUCCCUAAAAGCCGGUCUCAGUUCGGAUUGGGGUCUGCAACUCGACCCCAUGAAGGUGGAGUCGCUAGUAAUCGCGGAUCAGCAACACCGCGGUGAAUACGUUACCAGGGCCUUGUACACACCGCCCGUCACGUCAUGAAAGUAAGGCAGCAACCCCCAAUAGUUGCCGCCCACCCUCUUGUGAGAGAGAUAAAUGAAAAUGGGGGUUGGCAAUUGGGACCAAAUCUACG